rnacentral:misc_RNA from 1 species
GAUGAAGAACGCAGCGAAAUGCGAUAAGUAAUGUGAAUUGCAGAAUUCAGUGAAUCAUCGAAUCUUUGAACGCAUCUUGCGCUCCUUGGUAUUCUGAGGAGCAUGCCUGUUUGAGUGUCAUUAAAUUCUCAACUACACUGACUUUGAAUUGGUGUGGCUUGGAUUUGGGGGGAAAAUUGUUGUGGGCUUUUUGUAUAGUCUGCUCCCCUGAAAUUGAUUAGCGGUACCUUUGUGGAACUGUCUACAGGUGUGAUAAUUAUCUACAUCUUAGACAUCUGCUGGAAAGCUGCUUUCUAAACCUUACUUGUAUUGACAAUCUUGACCUCAAAUCAGGUAGGACUACCCGCUGAACUUAAGCAUAUCAAUAAGCGGAGGA